ensembl:misc_RNA Metazoa_SRP Metazoan signal recognition particle RNA
GUCAGGUGUUGCAGCGCGUGCCUGUGGUCCCAGCUACUUGGGAGGCGGAAGAGGGGGGAUUGCUUGAGCCAAGGAGUUCGGGGCUGCAGUGAGCUAUGCCGAUCCUGUGCUACGUGCUAAAUUAGGCAUCAAUAUGGCGACCUCCCAGGAGCGGGACCAUCAGGUUGCCUAAGGACGAGUGAAAUGGCUUUGGUCAGAAAGAGAGUAGGUCAAAACUUUCAUGCUGACCAGCAGUGGGACUGCAGCUGUGAAUAACCACUGUACUUUAGUCUGGGCAACAUAGCAAGACCCCAUCCCU